CUCUCUUGGCGGCGAGUGGCGGACGGGUGAGUAAUAUAUCGGAACGUGCCCAGUAGCGGGGGAUAACUACUCGAAAGAGUGGCUAAUACCGCAUACGCCCUACGGGGGAAAGGGGGGGAUCGCAAGACCUCUCACUAUUGGAGCGGCCGAUAUCGGAUUAGCUAGUUGGUGGGGUAAAGGCUCACCAAGGCAACGAUCCGUAGCUGGUUUGAGAGGACGACCAGCCACACUGGGACUGAGACACGGCCCAGACUCYUACGGGAGGCAGCAGUGGGGAAUUUUGGACAAUGGGGGAAACCCUGAUCCAGCCAUCCCGCGUGUAUGAUGAAGGCCUUCGGGUUGUAAAGUACUUUUGGCAGAGAAGAAAAGGUAUCCCCUAAUACGGGAUACUGCUGACGGUAUCUGCAGAAUAAGCACCGGCUAACUACGUGCCAGCAGCCGCGGUAAUACGUAGGGUGCAAGCGUUAAUCGGAAUUACUGGGCGUAAAGCGUGUGUAGGCGGUUCGGAAAGAAAGAUGUGAAAUCCCAGGGCUCAACCUUGGAACUGCAUUUUUAACUGCCGAGCUAGAGUAUGUCAGAGGGGGGUAGAAUUCCACGUGUAGCAGUGAAAUGCGUAGAUAUGUGGAGGAAUACCGAUGGCGAAGGCAGCCCCCUGGGAUAAUA
rnacentral:rRNA from 1 species